UACGGGGGGGGGCAAGCGUUGUUCGGAAUUACUGGGCGUAAAGGGUUCGUAGGUGGCCGACUAAGUCAGACGUGAAAUCCCUCAGCUCAACUGGGGAACUGCGUCUGAGACUGGCCGGCUUGAGUGCAGGAGAGGAACGCGGAAUUCCAGGUGUAGCGGUGAAAUGCGUAGAUAUCUGGAGGAACACCGGUGGCGAAAGCGGCUCACUGGACCUGAUCUGACACUGAGGUGCGAAAGCUAGGGUAGCAAACGGG
rnacentral:rRNA from 1 species